rnacentral:misc_RNA from 1 species
UCUCCGUUGGUGAACCAGCGGAGGGAUCAUUACGAGAGUGUCACCACUCCCAACCCAUUGUUUACCUACCCGUCCAACGUGCUUCGGCAGGCAGCCCUGUGGGACAGAGCCUCGCCCCCCUCGCGGGGGGUGCCUGCCGCUGGCCAACCAAAACUCUUAGCUGUUUUAGUACAAUCUGAGUCUUCCACAAAUAAACAAAACUUUCAACAACGGAUCUCUUGGUUCUGGCAUCGAUGAAGAACGCAGC